UUUCAACUAACAUCUAGUUCC
rnacentral:piRNA from 1 species